rnacentral:lncRNA from 1 species
GAACACAAAAUGGCGACACGUGGUUAGCAUUCGUCGCCAACGAGAAAUUGGGGUCGGCCCGAAAGCUCUAGAAUGCACCCCUCUUCCUCCCCGGGGCCUUCCACCUCCGCGAGUUUUAUGACUUAAAAAAGCCCACAGGCUGGUCUGAAGAGGAAGACAAACAUAAAGAUGAAGUGCUUAAUUCAAGGUCACACAAUGUCGGGGAUGGACCUCCAGAUUUCCUUACUGGAAAACAAGCUCAGGGCUCCCACUGAUUGUACAUUAUGAGACGGAGUCUUGCUAUGUUGCCCAGGCUGGUCUUGAACUCCUCACCUCAAGCGAUCCUCCCGUCUUGGCCUCCCAAGUGUCAGGAUUACGGGCAUGUGCUAUCACACCCAACCUGAUACAUUGCCUUUAUAAAUUUUUUUUUCUUUAUUCUAAAAACCAGAAAAAACAAAACUGGAUACAUGUGCAGAACAUGCAGACCAAGUGUGUUGGGGACUUGAGAUGCGUACAUGAGUGUGAUGUUUCCUGCUGAAAGCACAGGUGAGACGUGGUCUUGUAACACAGUGGUUAAGAAUGUGACUUUGGAGCCAGCCUGCUA